rnacentral:rRNA from 1 species
UACGAAGGGGGCUAGCGUUGCUCGGAAUCACUGGGCGUAAAGGGUGCGUAGGCGGGUCUUUUAAGUCAGGGGUGAAAUCCUGGAGCUCAACUCCAGAACUGCCUUUGAUACUGAGGAUCUUGAGUUCGGGAGAGGUGAGUGGAACUGCGAGUGUAGAGGUGAAAUUCGUAGAUAUUCGCAAGAACACCAGUGGCGAAGGCGGCUCACUGGCCCGAUACUGACGCUGAAGCACGAAAGCGUGGGGAGCAAACAGG